rnacentral:rRNA from 1 species
UACGUAGGGGGCAAGCGUUGUCCGGAAUCAUUGGGCGUAAAGCGCGUGUAGGCGGUUCAGUAAGUCUGCUGUGAAAGUCCAGGGCUCAACCCUGGGAUGCCGGUGGAUACUGCUGGGCUAGAGUACGGAAGAGGCGAGUGGAAUUCCCAGUGUAGCGGUGAAAUGCGCAGAUAUCGGGAGGAACACCUAUUGCGAAGGCAGCUCGCUGGGACGUUACUGACGCUGAGACGCGAAAGCGUGGGGAGCAAACAGG